CCUACGGGGGGCAGCAGUGGGGGAUAUUGGACAAUGGGGGAAACCCUGAUCCAGCGACGCCGCGUGAGUGAAGAAGUAUUUCGGUAUGUAAAGCUCUAUCAGCAGGGAAGAAAGAAAUGACGGUACCUGAGUAAGAAGCCCCGGCUAACUACGUGCCAGCAGCAGCGGUAAUACGGAGGGGGCAAGCGUUAUCCGGAAUUACUGGGUGUAAAGGGAGCGUAGACGGUAAUGCAAGUCUGGCGUGAAAGGCGGGGGCCCAACCCCCGGACUGCUCUGGAAACUGUGUAACUGGAGUGCAGGGGAGGCAGGCGGAAUUCCUAGUGUAGCGGUGAAAUGCGUAGAUAUUAGGAGGAACACCAGUGGCGAAGGCGGCCUGCUGGACUGUAACUGACGUUGAGGCUCGAAAGCGUGGGGAGCAAACAGGAUUAGAUACCCGUGUAGUC
rnacentral:rRNA from 1 species